UACGUAGGGGGCAAGCGUUGUCCGGAUUAUUGGUGCGUAAAGAGCGUGUAGGCGGCUUUGCAAGUCCGUUGUGAAAACUCGAGCUCAACCUCGAGACGCCGGUGGAAACUGCAAAGCUAGAGUCCGGAAGAGGAGAGUGGAAUUCCUGGUGUAGCGGUGAAAUGCGCAGAUAUCAGGAAGAACACCCGUGGCGAAGGCGGCUCUCUGGGACGGUACUGACGCUGAGACGCGAAAGCUAGGGGAGCAAACAGG
rnacentral:rRNA from 1 species